rnacentral:tRNA from 1 species
AUCAUUAUAGUUUAAUAAAAUAUAAAACUUAAUAUUGAAGAUAUUAAAAUAGUAUACCACUUAAUGAUA